rnacentral:rRNA from 1 species
CAGUAGCCGCGGGAAUACGAACUGUGCAAACGUUAUUCGGAAUCACUGGGCUUAAAGGGUGCGUAGGCGGAUUUGUAGGUCAGAUGUGAAAGCCCACGGCUCAACCGUGGAAUUGCGUUUGAAACCACAAAUCUUGAGGAAGUCAGAGGUAUGCGGAACUGAUGGUGGAGCGGUGAAAUGUGUUGAUAUCAUCAGGAACACCGGUGGCGAAAGCGGCAUACUGGGACUUUUCUGACGCUGAGGCACGAAAGCUAGGGGAGCGAACGGGAUUAGAGACCCCGGUAGUCCCUGUCUCUUAUAC